rnacentral:lncRNA from 1 species
CUCGCAAUGCAUGAAGAAACUCACUCAGACAUGUCACUAAUGGUCUUGAUAAAUACGGAUUCUGAAAAGAUUAAUACUAAAGAUGUUGUGUCCACGAUGGCCAUGAGUUACUUUGAAUAUGAAGCUGGAAACAAGGAGAUAAAUAUCCCUAGUGUUAAAGGUAAUCUUCAUCUUUUUUCUAAGAAACGAUUAUCUGCCAUGGUGCUCUCUUUAAUUAAUCAGAUUGAAAGAUUGGGUGUUAACAAAGAAAAAUUAUUCAAUAAUUUUUCAACUGUUAAGUUUGUACGCCACAAAAUUGAGUUCAGCACGUCUGAACUAAAAAGGGAAAAACAAAAUCUUAAGAAACAUGCUUUUAUUUAAAAUAUGAAAUUGAAGCAUUCAAAUUUGAAAAUGACAAUUUAAAAGAAGCACCAUUUAAAGGAAAAAGGUGAGAUCCAUAAUAUUUAAGAGUCCCUUGAAAAUAAAUUAAAAUUGAUCAAGGAAAACUUAUACAACCAAGUUGAACGAAAUAAAAUAAUUCAAGAGGACUGAACAAGGCCAAAUAUGAACUGACAAUUAACCUUAUUUCAUCUUUUCAAUGAUGCCAAAAGGUGAAAGUGUGCAUGAAAGUGAAUGCAAAUGAAUUGCAGAUUUUGAUAUGCUGAAGGGGUGUUUCGUGUCAUUACUUUAUCAUCUUUAAAAGGAAAAAUUUAUUAGAAAUCUAGUUUUAAUGAUCAACAAAUGUCACCUGCUGAAUCUCAGACCUUGGGUCUACUGGUAGUUCCUAUACAACUAAGAGUCCUAGCGAGAAGGGGAUUCACUUUUGCGUCCGACAAGGAUCUAUUUAUACUAUGCUUGGCAACCACAUGAUAACAUCAGAAAAUCUUGGCAGAGCUUUAUAAGUUGAGUUUAGGCCAAGAUUUGUGGAAGUACUUAUGAAAGUAUAUUUUACGUUUUUGGAAGAUCGAAGGAAAAUAUUUUCACUUCUUUUAUUUGCUGGGGUUAGGAGAUUUGGUGCAACUUGGUGAACACUCUUCUAUUCAUAGCCGUCUAUUAUGUAUUUAUAUAUAUAGUACGAGUUUAUUUUUGCAAAGGUUGUGCACCUACACACACAACUGAGACAUCCUUCUUGUGAGCAGCAACUUUCGAGAACCAAGAGCAAAAUAAAUUAAAGAACACAGUUCGAGAGAUCAUUGAUUCAAGUUUAGUUCGUUUGUCUUGAUUUUGUAAUAGGGGUUUUCUCUGCUUAUAUUAGAAGCUAUUUAUAAGAACUCUUGAGUGACAAUUUUUGUUCUAGACUGAGAAAUUAGUUUGGAGUAAGUAGCUACAAUCAGUUUGAUUGCAGGGUGUUGAGUGACUAGAUUUAGUCUAUUAGGUUAUAAAUGUAUUUUAUAACUUGAAACUGCUCGUUGUUGUUAGUGAAAUUUGUGAGAAAAAUCCUAGAGUUGGGUUGUGAUUUUACUCCCUUGAGCAAGGAGAUUUUUUAAUGUAAAAUUUAUGUCUUCUUUUUGCA